rnacentral:lncRNA from 1 species
GGAUGUCUGAUGGAGCGGAAUGGCUCUCUAUCUCGUCGAUCUAGGAGAAGCUCGGAUGGAGACUUUCUGUUGGUGAAGUCCGGUAGGAGUUCGAUUGCUAGAGAAGUUCAUCUAAAAUUUGUCGGAUGUGAAAGCUCAUCUGAAAAUUAUCCAUCGAAGAAGUCCGAUUUCAUGAAGAAUCUGGCGGAGGGUCGGCCAGCGGUGGACUUCGGAUGGCG